UGCGUAGGCGGGGGAUUAAGUCAGUGGUGAAAUCCUACAGCUUAACUGUAGAACUGCCAUUGAUACUGGUUUUCUUGAGUAUAGUUGAAGUGGGCGGAAUGUGUAUUGUAGCGGUGAAAUGCUUAGAUAUUACACAGAACACCUAUUGCGAAGGCAGCUCACUAAACUAAUACUGACGCUGAGGCACGAAAGCGUGGGGAGCAAACAGGAUUAGAUACCCUGGUAGUCC
rnacentral:rRNA from 1 species